AUUGAACGCUGGCGGCAGGCCUAACACAUGCAAGUCGAACGAGUGGCGGACGGGUGAGUAAUGUCUGGGAAACUGCCUGAUGGAGGGGGAUAACUACUGGAAACGGUAGCUAAUACCGCAUACCCUCGGAUGUGCCCAGAUGGGAGGAGCUAGUAGGUGGGGUAAAGGCUCACCUUGGCGACGAUCCCUAGCUGGUCUGAGAGGAGGACCGGCCACACGGGAACUGAGACACGGUCCAGACUCCGACGGGAGGCAGCAGUGGGGAAUAUUGCACAAUGGGCGAAAGCCUGAUGCAGCCAUGCCGCGUGUGUGAGGAAGGCCUUCGGGUUGUAAAGCACUUUCAGCGAGGAGGCGGUACUCGCAGAGGAAGCACCGGCUAACUACGUGCCAGCAGCCGCGGUAAUUC
rnacentral:rRNA from 1 species